AGGACGAACGCUGGCGGCGUGCUUAACACAUGCAAGUCGAACGGAGAAUUUACUCGGUAGAAUUCUUAGCGGCGAACGGGUGAGUAACGCGUAGACAACCUGCCUCUUAGAUGGGGACAACAUCGCGAAAGCGGUGCUAAUACCGAAUGAAGUGGAGCUUCCGCAUGGAAGCAUCACCAAAGGUGGCCUCUAUUUAUAAGCUACCACUGAGAGAUGGGUCUGCGUCUGAUUAGCUAGUUGGCGGGGUAAUGGCCCACCAAGGCGACGAUCAGUAGCCGGUCUGAGAGGAUGAACGGCCACAUUGGGACUGAGACACGGCCCAAACUCCUACGGGAGGCAGCAGUGGGGAAUCUUCCGCAAUGGACGAAAGUCUGACGGAGCAACGCCGCGUGAAGUGAAGAAGGUUUUCGGAUCGUAAAGCUCUGUUGUUUGAGACGAAUGUGCAGACUUUGAAUAAGGGUUUGUAAUGACGGUAUUAAACGAGAAAGCCACGGCUAACUACGUGCCAGCCGCGGC
rnacentral:rRNA from 1 species